rnacentral:rRNA from 1 species
GGAUUGAACGCUGGCGGCAUGCCUAACACAUGCAAGUCGAACGGGAGUAGCAAUACUCUAGUGGCGGACGGGUGAGGAAUACGUAGGAAUUUGCCCUUAAGUGGGGGAUAACCCGGGGAAACCCGGAUUAAUACCGCAUGACCUCGAAAGAGCAAAGUGGGGGAUCGCAAGACCUUACGCUUUUGGAGAAGCCUACGUCGGAUUAGCUAGUUGGUGAGGUAAUGGCUCACCAAGGCGACGAUCCGUAACUGGUCUGAGAGGAUGAUCAGUCACACCGGAACUGAGACACGGUCCGGACUCCUACGGGAGGCAGCAGUGGGGAAUAUUGGACAAUGGGCGCAAGCCUGAUCCAGCAAUGCCGCGUGUGUGAAGAAGGCCUUCGGUGUAAGCACUUAAGUUGGGAAGAAAAACUCGACUACUAACACUAGUGAGUCUCGAACGUACCGACAGAAUAAGCAACCGG